AUUGAACGCUGGCGGCAGGCCUAACACAUGCAAGUCGAACGAGUGGCGGACGGGUGAGUAAUGUCUGGGAAACUGCCUGAUGGAGGGGGAUAACUACUGGAAACGGUAGCUAAUACCGCAUACCAUCGGAUGUGCCCAGAUGGGAUUAGCUAGUAGGUGGGGUAACGGCUCACCUAGGCGACGAUCCCUAGCUGGUCUGAGAGGAUGACCAGCCAAACUGGAACUGAGACACGGUCCAGAAUCCUACGGGAGGCAGCAGUGGGGAAUAUUGCACAAUGGGCGCAAGCCUGAUGCAGCCAGGCCGCGUGUAUGAAGAAGGCCUUCGGGUUGUAAAGUACUUUCAGCGGGGAGGCGUUACUCGCAGAAGAAGCACCGGCUAACUCAGUGCCAGCAGCCGCGGUAAUUC
rnacentral:rRNA from 1 species